UCGAGUCUCUUCCUCCGCCACGUCUCCGCCCUAAUUCUGUUUCUUUGGGGUUCGCCUGAGUUCUGGUCUGCUUCAUUCGUCUCCUUUGAUGGCGGCGGAAGGUCAGUACGUUUUUCAUCUUUUCCCCCCUACCCGCACUACCGGAUUCGGUGUGCGCCGCCGUGCCAUGGCCGCUCGCACUCCUCGGAAUCUCUGGUUCGUAGCCGCGCACACCGCUAACUUCCGCACCUGGCCGACACGCUGGCCUGGUUUGUGCACGAGCACCACGCCGCCUCGCCGGCAGGGUCGCCUUUGCUGACAUUGCCUCCACCUCCACCUACAGCCUGCACACCCAUACUCCGGCGACUCCCACCUCCACAUCCACUCCGACAUCCCCAAAUCAAAGACCACCUGCGUGGGUGCUGUGUUGGCGACGGAGAGGUACGUUCUUGCUGGGUUUUGGCCGGCGCAGGAGGGCUAUUCUCCUGAAUCUGAAAUGUGUGAUUAUUGGUGGCUUACUGAACUGCUACAAGCAGCUCGAUACAAGAAGCUUUUCAUGACGGGGAUAAUAUGCAGAAGACAAAGUUUUCGAAAUCAUUAUCAGAUAUGUGGAAAGACACUAAAGACUUCGAUAUAAAUGACAACCACGGAAGGAGUUCAAUUGCUAUGCCUUACGACCAUUGUCCUGUGUGAUCAAUACAGAAGGACCAGCUACAGGGAUUGCGAACAAUGAUGUGAUUGUAAUACCUGGAAUUCAAACCGAUAAGAAUAGUUUCGAUAAGAGGAACAGAAAAAGCGUGUUGCCAAAGCAACAUCCCCCGGGAGAAACAUGCCAGAGUUCGUUAUAGGUCCAUUCAUUCCCGUUUUCCACAAUAAGCACCUGAGGAGCAACAGAUUCAAACAUGCAAAUCCAUUGUCUAGGUGCAAGCCAUCCGCGAGAAAAUUGCAACUCAGCUUGUCAUAACAAGUAUAAUGAGCAUCAAAUACCAAUAGCAAGACAAUUCAUUGCUAAACAUAUAUUUCACCUACAUGACAAGUACAGGAACACAAAGUUUGGUAAUGAAAGAAGAGGCACAGACAAUUAGCAAGGAAAGCUUCGGAAAAAACCUUCUGCAAGUUUUAAACAUGAAUUCAGUGUACCGGCUGACAAAAAGACUUUUACCUACAGUUUCCAUUGAUGUAUGUCUACACUUGAAGAAUUCAUUCAUGUAUGUCUACACUUGAAACGGGGAAUUUUUUAUGUUACACA